rnacentral:rRNA from 1 species
AUUGAACGCUGGCGGCAGGCCUAACACAUGCAAGUCGAGCGGUAGAGAGGUGCUUGCAUCUCUUGAGAGCGGCGGACGGGUGAGUAAUGCCUAGGAAUCUGCUUAGUGUGGGGGAUAACGUUCGGAAACGGACGCUAAUACCGCAUACGUCCUACGGGAGAAAGCGGGGGAUCUUCGGACCUCGCGCCAUUAGAUGAGCCUAGGUCGGAUUAGCUAGUUGGUGAGGUAAUGGCUCACCAAGGCGACGAUCCGUAACUGGUCUGAGAGGAUGAUCAGUCACACUGGAACUGAGACACGGUCCAGACUCCUACGGGAGGCAGCAGUGGGGAAUAUUGGACAAUAGGGCGAAAGCCUGAUCCAGCCAUGCCGCGUGUGUGAAGAAGGUCUUCGGAUUGUAAAGCACUUUAAGUUGGGAGGAAGGGUAGUAACC